rnacentral:rRNA from 1 species
GAGUGAUCAAGUGUCUUAAGGGCAUUUGGUGGAUGCCUUGGCGACUAGAGGCGAUGAAAGACGUGAUACGCUGCGAUAAGCGUCGGGGAGCUGCGAAUAAGCUUUGAUCCGGCGAUUUCUGAAUGGGGCAACCCACCCGCAAGGGUACCCGCAAGGGGGCAAACCCGGAGAACUGAAACAUCUCAGUACCCGGAGGAAAGGACAUCAACCGAGACUCCGCUAGUAGUGGCGAGCGAACGCGGACCAGGCCAGUGGUCAUAUUUUAAGAACCGGAACAAGUUGGGAAACUUGGCCUUAGUGGGUGAUAGCCCCGUACGGGUAGAAAGAAGUAUGAUCCUUGAGUAGGGCGGGACACGUGAAAUCCUGUCUGAACAUGGGGGGACCACCCUCCAAGCCUAAGUACUCCUAGUCGACCGAUAGCGCACCAGUACCGUGAGGGAAAGGUGAAAAGUACCCCGACGAGGGGAGUGAAAUAGUACCUGAAACCGAAUGCUUACAAACAGUUGGAGCCCGUAAGGGUGACAGCGUACCUUUUGUAUAAUGGGUCAGCGACUUAAUUUAACGAGCAAGCUUAAGCCGAUAGGUGUAGGCGCAGCGAAAGCGAGUCUGAAUAGGGCGUUUUAGUUCGUUGGAUUAGACCCGAAACCGAGUGAUCUAGCCAUGAGCAGGUUGAAGGUGCGGUAACACGCACUGGAGGACCGAACCCACGAAUGUUGAAAAAUUCGGGGAUGACUUGUGGCUAGGGGUGAAAGGCCAAUCAAACUCGGAAAUAGCUGGUUCUCCGCGAAAUCUAUUUAGGUAGAGCGUCCUGUGAAUACUCCUGGGGGUAGAGCACUGGAUGGGCUAUGGGGGCUCACCGCCUUACUGAUCCUAACCAAACUCCGAAUACCAGGAAGUACUGCAGGGCAGACACACAGUGGGUGCUAACGUCCAUUGUGGAGAGGGAAACAACCCUGACCGCCAGUUAAGGUCCCUAAGUUAUGGCUAAGUGGGAAAGGAUGUGAGGAUCCCAAAACAACCAGGAUGUUGGCUUAGAAGCAGCCAUCAUUUAAAGAAAGCGUAACAGCUCACUGGUCUAAAUAAGGGUCUUUGCGCCGAAAAUGUACCGGGGCUAAAGCCAUACACCGAAACUGCGGGUGCAUCUUUGAUGCGCGGUAGCGGAGCGUUCUGUAAGCUGAUGAAGGGUGACCUGUGAGGGCACCUGGAAGUAUCAGAAGUGCGAAUGCUGACAUGAGUAACGAUAAAGAGGGUGAGAGACCCUCUCGCCGAAAGUCCAAGGGUUCCUGCGCAACGCUAAUCGGCGCAGGGUUAGCCGGCCCCUAAGGCGAGGCCGAAAGGCGUAGUCGAUGGGAACGGGGUUAAUAUUCCCCGGCCAGUGGGUAGUGACGGAUGCCGUGUAUCGUAUCUCCUUAUUGGAUUGGAGAUGCGGUGAAGGUGUUCCUGGAAAUAGCUCCCACGUUAAGACCGUACCCGAAACCGACACAGGUGGACAGGUAGAGUAUACCAAGGCGCUUGAGAGAACUGUGCUGAAGGAACUCGGCAAAUUGCUCCCGUAAGUUCGCGAGAAGGGAGCCCGGUACGAAGGCAACUUUGUAUCGGGGGCACAGAAUAGGGGGUUGCGACUGUUUAUCAAAAACACAGGGCUCUGCGAAGCCGCAAGGCGACGUAUAGGGUCUGACGCCUGCCCGGUGCUGGAAGGUUAAGAGGAGGUGUGCAAGCACCGAAUUGAAGCCCCAGUAAACGGCGGCCGUAACUAUAACGGUCCUAAGGUAGCGAAAUUCCUUGUCGGGU